GAUAAACGCUGGCGGCGUGCAUGAGACAUGCAAGUCGAACGGACGAUCAGGGCUUGCUCUGGUCGUUAGUGGCGGACGGCUGAGUAACGCGUGGGUGACCUGCCCCGAAGUGGGGGAUAACUGCCCGAAAGGGUGGCUAAUACCGCAUGUGGUGGUGCGUUCGAUCGCACCAGUAAAGCCGCAAGGCGCUUCGGGAGGGGCCUGCGUCCGAUUAGCUCGUUGGUGGGGUAACGGCUCACCAAGGCGACGAUCGGUAGGUGGUCUGAGAGGACGAUCACCCAGACUGGGACUGAGACACGGCCCAGACUCCUACGGGAGGCAG
rnacentral:rRNA from 1 species